AAAGAAAGCGUUUUGACGAGUUUCGGACUGGGAUCCCUCUUCACUGGAUAGCGACCCUUUCCUGUGUGAACUGAACAACAUAACCACACUGAGCCGGAUCAGAAGGGCUGCAAUGGAUGAUAAUCAGGCCAACAGGAACUUGAUCCAGACAGAGACUAGAAGAAAACAAGCCAGAACUCCAGUGGUUCCAUCCAGAGUCAGAC